ACACCAGAUCGAUACUUCCCGAUCGAGCCCUCUUUCUUCCUUGGUGUUGCCGGCCGCCUCCCAGAGCCGAUGUUCUAUCGCCCAGCCUCUCUUCUUCCUUCCCCACCAUCGUAACCCAUCGGAUCGCCCUUCCCCUUGUCGGAUCGACCAUUCCCCUCCUCCCUUUUCUUCCCCCACCUCUCCCUUUGUUCCCCCAUCAUGCCGUC
rnacentral:lncRNA from 1 species